CACUGACUAUUGGCAAUUUUGUACGCUCUGUAAAUAUUUCGUGUUUUGUAUUUUUGUUAUUUGUGAAAAUCAAGCAAAUUUGUGUUUGUUGGAUAAAAUCCAAGUGAAUAUUUUGAAAAGAAUUGAAUUUUGGUCAUCAGAAACAUUGAAAAAUUGAAAAUCGUUUGAAAACUGUGGAAUUGGUACGCAAGAAACGUCACAUUCUCACAAUUGGCAACGAUGAACGCAAAUUGGCACAGGAAUCUGACCAAAUACUGGUUCAAAAUCGAGCUGGAGACGAAGCAAAUACUUCGAAUGGUCAAAGAUGACUUUCAAAGUAGCGGCAUGUCGUUCGACAACAAUUUCAAGGACUAUUUCGUUCAAACGACGAACAUUCGAAUUGCACAAGUCUACGAACAAUGUCUCACUGAAUUUCGGUUCGAAGAGCAAUUCAUCGGCGUUCGAUUUGGUCAGGUGCCAGCCACAAAUCCGAUCGAAAAGACGACCGCCGUGGCAAACGGCGAGAUGGAUGUCAUAGCCAGUCGACCGGCGACGGUUGACUCAAUUCUGAACGGAAUGCACGUUCCAAGCGACGAAUCAGUGGCAUCGUUCCUGUUCAAACAUAAUCGCCCAG